AGCAGCCGCGGUAAUUCCAGCUCCAAUAGCGUAUAUUAAAGUUGUUGCAGUUAAAAAGCUCGUAGUUGAAUUUCGGGAUUCUACCGUUGGUCGGGCUAACAAGUCUGUACUGGUGUGUAGAAUUUCUACCUUCUAGGGAACUAUCAUGUUAUUAAUUUAGCGUGGUGGGAAACCAGGACCUUUACCUUGAAAAAAUUAGAGUGUUCAAAGCAGGCUUACGUCUGAAUACAUUAGCAUGGAAUAAUAGAAUAGGACGGUGGUCCUGUUUUGUUGGUUUCUGAAUCACCGUAAUGAUUAAUAGGGAUAGUUGGGGGCAUUAGUAUUCAAUUGUCAGUGGUGAAAUUCUUGGAUUUAUUGAAGACUAACUUCUGCGAAAGCAUUUGCCAAGGAUGUUUUCAUUAAUCAAGAACGAAAGUUAGGGGAUCGAAGACGAUCAGAUACCGUCGUAGUCUUAACCAUAAACUAUGCCGACUAGGGAUCGGACGAUGUUAAAUUUUAUUGACUCGUUCGGCGCCUUACG
rnacentral:rRNA from 1 species